rnacentral:rRNA from 1 species
GACGAACGUUGGCGGCGUGCUUAACACAUGCAAGUCGAACGGAAAGGCCCUGCUUUUGUGGGGUGCUCGAGUGGCGAACGGGUGAGUAACACGUGAGUAACCUGCCCUUGACUUUGGGAUAACUUCAGGAAACUGGGGCUAAUACCGGAUAGGAGCUCCUGCUGCAUGGUGGGGGUUGGAAAGUUUCGGCGGUUGGGGAUGGACUCGCGGCUUAUCAGCUUGUUGGUGGGGUAGUGGCUUACCAAGGCUUUGACGGGUAGCCGGCCUGAGAGGGUGACCGGCCACAUUGGGACUGAGAUACGGCCCAGACUCCUACGGGAGGCAGCAGUGGGGAAUAUUGCACAAUGGGCGGAAGCCUGAUGCAACAACGCCGCGUGCGGGAUGACGGCCUUCGGGUUGUAAACCGCUUUCGCCUGUGACGAAGCGUGAGUGACGGUAAUGGGUAAAGAAGCACCGGCUAACUACGUGCCAGCAGCCGCGGUGAUACGUAGGGUGCGAGCGUUGUCCGGAUUUAUUGGGCGUAAAGGGCUCGUAGGUGGUUGAUCGCGUCGGAAGUGUAAUCUUGGGGCUUAAACCCUGAGCGUGCUUUCGAUACGGGUUGACUUGAGGAAGGUAGGGGAGAAUGGAAUUCCUGGUGGAGCGGUGGAAUGCGCAGAUAUCAGGAGGAACACCAGUGGCGAAGGCGGUUCUCUGGGCCUUUCCUGACGCUGAGGAGCGAAAGCGUGGGGAGCGAACAGGCUUAGAUACCCUGGUAGUCCACGCUGUAAACGGUGGGUACUAGGUGUGGGGUCCAUUCCACGGGUUCCGUGCCGUAGCUAACGCUUUAAGUACCCCGCCUGGGGAGUACGGCCGCAAGGCUAAAACUCAAAGGAAUUGACGGGGCCCCGCACAAGCGGCGGAGCAUGCGGAUUAAUUCGAUGCAACGCGUAGAACCUUACCUGGGUUUGACAUGGAUCGGGAGUGCUCAGAGAUGGGUGUGCCUCUUUUGGGGUCGGUUCACAGGUGGUGCAUGGCUGUCGUCAGCUCGUGUCGUGAGAUGUUGGGUUAAGUCCCGCAACGAGCGCAACCCUUGUUCACUGUUGCCAGCACGUUAUGGUGGGGACUCAGUGGAGACCGCCGGGGUCAACUCGGAGGAAGGUGGGGAUGACGUCAAGUCAUCAUGCCCCUUAUGUCCAGGGCUUCACGCAUGCUACAAUGGCUGGUACAGAGAGUGGCGAGCCUGUGAGGGUGAGCGAAUCUCGGAAAGCCGGUCUCAGUUCGGAUUGGGGUCUGCAACUCGACCUCAUGAAGUCGGAGUCGCUAGUAAUCGCAGAUCAGCAACGCUGCGGUGAAUACGUUCCCGGG